rnacentral:rRNA from 1 species
GAGUCUUGUGGAGGGGGGUAGAAUUCCAGGUGUAGCGGUGAAAUGCGUAGAGAUAUGGACGAAUCCCGGUGGGGAAGGCGGCCCCCUGGACAAAGACUCACGCUCAGGUGAGAAAGCGGGGGAGCAAUCAGGAUUAGAUACCUUGGUAGUCCACGCCGUAAACGAUGUCGAUUUGGAGGUUGUGCCCUUGAGGCGUGGCUUCCGGAGCUAACGCGUUAAAUCGACCGCCUGGGGAGUACGGCCGCAAGGUUAAAACUCAAAUGAAUUGACGGGGGCCCGCACAAGCGGUGGAGCAUGUGGUUUAAUUCGAUGCAACGCGAAGAACCUUACCUGGUCUUGACAUCCACAGAACUUAGCAGAGAUGCUUUGGUGCCUUCGGGAACUGUGAGACAGGUGCUGCAUGGCUGUCGUCAGCUCGUGUUGUGAAAUGUUGGGUUAAGUCCCGCAACGAGCGCAACCCUUAUCCUUUGUUGCCAGCGGUUAGGCCGGGAACUCAAAGGAGACUGCCAGUGAUAAACUGGAGGAAGGUGGGGAUGACGUCAAGUCAUCAUGGCCCUUACGACCAGGGCUACACACGUGCUACAAUGGCAUAUACAAAGAGAAGCGACCUCGCGAGAGCAAGCGGACCUCAUAAAGUAUGUCGUAGUCCGGAUUGGAGUCUGCAACUCGACUCCAUGAAGUCGGAAUCGCUAGUAAUCGUAGAUCAGAAUGCUACGGUGAAUACGUUCCCGGGCCUUGUACACACCGCCCGUCACACCAUGGGAGUGGGUUGCAAAAGAAGUAGGUAGCUUAACCUUCGGGAGGGCGCUUACC